GAUGAACGCUGGCGGCGUGCCUAAUACAUGCAAGUCGAGCGAAUGGAUUAAGAGCUUGCUCUUAUGAAGUUAGCGGCGGACGGGUGAGUAACACGUGGGUAACCUGCCCAUAAGACUGGGAUAACUCCGGGAAACCGGGGCUAAUACCGGAUAACAUUUUGAACCGCAUGGUUCGAAAUUGAAAGGCGGCUUCGGCUGUCACUUAUGGAUGGACCCGCGUCGCAUUAGCUAGUUGGUGAGGUAACGGCUCACCAAGGCAACGAUGCGUAGCCGACCGGGGAGGGUGAUCGGCCGAACUGGGACUGAGACACGGCCCAGACUCCUACGGGAGGCAGCAGUAGGGAAUCUUCCGCAAGGGACGAAAGUCUGACGGAGCAACGCCGCGUGAGUGAUGAAGGCUUUCGGGUCGUAAAACUCUGUUGUUAGGGAAGAACAAGUGCUAGUUGAAUAGGCUGGCACCUUGACGGUACCUAACCAGAAAGCCACGGCUAACUACGUGCCAGCAGCCGCGGUAA
rnacentral:rRNA from 1 species